AUUACCGCGGCUGCUGGCACGGAGUUAGCCGAUGCUUAUUCAUACGGUACUCUCAUCAAUCUAUGCAUAGACCUUAUUGCUCCCGUAUAAAAGCAGUUUACAACCCAUAGGGCCGUCUUCCUGCACGCGGCAUGGCUGGAUCAGAUUUCCAUCCAUUGUCCAAUAUUCCUCACUGCUGCCUCCCGUAGG
rnacentral:rRNA from 1 species